rnacentral:rRNA from 1 species
UGAAUACGAGACGCUAAGGCGUCGAAGUAGUGUAUGUCAUACUUCCAAGAAAAGCUUGCACUGUCAUAGAUAAAAAACGCCUGUACCAUAACCGACACAGGUGGGUAGGUAGAGUAUACUAAGGGGCGCGAGAUAACUCUCUCUAAGGAACUCGGCAAAAUAACUCCGUAACUUCGGGAGAAGGAGUGCCUUAUUCGUAAGGUUGCAAUAACAAGAUCCAAGCAACUGUUUAUCAAAAACACAGGUCUCCGCUAAGUCGUAAGACGAUGUAUGGGGGCUGACGCCUGCCCAGUGCCAGAAGGCUAAAGAAGUUGGUUAGCAAUUGCGAAGCUGAUAACUGAAGCCCUGGUGAACGGCGGCCGUAACUAUAACGGUCCUAAGGUAGCGAAAUUCCAUGUCGGGUAAGUUCCGACCCGCACGAAAGGCGUAAUGAUUUGGAUACUGUCUCGGAGAGGGGCUCGGUGAAAUAGACUUGUCUGUGAAGAUGCGGACUACCUGCACCAGGACAGAAAGACCCUAUGAAGCUUUACUGUAACUUGAAAUUGAAAUUGGACUUUAUUCGCGCAGUAUAGGUGGGAGGCGUUGAUUAUAAUCUUGUGGGAUUAUUGGAGCCAUCAGUGAGAUACCACUCUUGUAAUGUUAGAUUUCUAACUUUGAAUCAUUAUCUGGUCAAAGAACAGUUUCAGGCGGGCAGUUUGACUGGGGCGGUCGCCUCCUAAACGGUAACGGAGGCGUACAAAGGUUUCCUCUGAACGGUUAGAAAUCGUAUCUAGAGUGUAAAGGCAUAAGGAAGCUUGACUGUGAGACCUACAAGUCGAGCAGGGACGAAAGUCGGUCUUAGUGAUCUGACGGUACUGAGUGGAAAGGCCGUCACUCAACGGAUAAAAGUUACUCUAGGAUAACAGGCUGAUCUCCCCCAAGAGUUCACAUCGACGGGGAGGUUUGGCACCUCGAUGUCGGCUCAUCGCAUCCUGGGGCGGUAGUACGUCCCAAGGGUUGGGCUGUUCGCCCAUGAAAGCGGUACGCGAGCUGGGUUCAGAACGUCGUGAGACAGUUCGGUCCAUAUCCGGUGUAGGCGUUAGAAUAUUGAGAGGAGCCUUCUUUAGUACGAGAGGACCGAGAAGGACAUACCUCUGGUGUACCAGUUAUCGUGCCAACGGUAAACGCUGGGUAGCUAUGUAUGGAGUGGAUAACCGCUGAAAGCAUCUAAGUGGGAAGCCCACCUCAAGAUAAG